AACGCAUCUUGCGCCCUUUGGUAUUCCGAGGGGCAUGCCUGUUUGAGUGUCGCAUUACUCUCAACCCUUGACCGUUCAUGGGCUUGGGCUUGGAUCGUGGUCGAACCUGGCCGGCGUUAACGUCUGGCCCGGCCGAAAUGGAUGCGGAGCGAGUGCGCGCCGCGACGACCGAGCGUUGUAGAACCUCGCAUGGCGUUGUGGGUGCUGCUCCCCAGCUCUCUUCUUCGACCUCAAAUCAGGUAGGACUACCCGCUGAACUUAA
rnacentral:misc_RNA from 1 species